CCUACGGGAGGCAGCAGUGAGGAAUAUUGGUCAAUGGGCGGAAGCCUGAACCAGCCAAGUAGCGUGCAGGAUGACGGCCCUACGGGUUGUAAACUGCUUUUAUACGGGAAUAACGCGCCUUACGUGUAGGGCUUUGCAUGUACCGUAUGAAUAAGGACCGGCUAAUUCCGUGCCAGCAGCCGCUGUAAUACGGAAGGUCCGGGCGUUAUCCGGGUUUAUUGGGUUUAAAGGGAGCGGAGGCCGCAUGUCAAGCGUGGUGUGAAAUGUCCGGGCUUCACCCGGGCCUCGGAGCGCGAACUGGCGGGCGUGAGUCGGCGGAAAGCAGGCGGAAUUCGUCGUGGAGCGGUGGAAUGCUU
rnacentral:rRNA from 1 species